UCCCGUUUGCUCUCAAAUAGUUCAUUUCCCGUGGAGUUUGGUAACCAUGUGGCCAUCGAAAAAAGAGGAAGAGCAGAGCAUAAUCCUGAUCAGUGAUGAUGAAGCUGAGGACCCGCUGGGCAGCCCAGUUAUGUUGGUGGACCCUCUGGAGGAGCCUGCUCCGGAGGAGGGGAAAUCCGAGGAAGUUGUGGAUGAGGAAUGUGAUCUAGUGGUUACUUUCUGCAAAAAAGCUAAUGUGAUGCCACAUGCAAGAUACGACUGUACAACGCACAAGUUUAAGCGAACGGAAUGUGAUACAUGCUCACCCCUUGGGCAGAAUGCUGAUAUUUGUGACCAGUGCUACUGCUAUGUUUGUGAUAAGCUAGCUUCUGAGUGUAAGAACUGGACCAUCCCUGCCCUCUGCCACUGCAAUGCACACAACAAAAGCAAGUUCUGGAAGGAUCGACGCGACUGUGCCUUGGCUGGCAUCCUUGUAACGUUCAAUUUGCAGCUCACAGAUUUAGAUGCAGACCUUCGGCGUGGUGGAGAUCUUCUGCAAAAAUUUAUCCAGGAACUUUCUGUGGAAUAUAAUAAGUAUCUGGUUGGAGAAGUGCUUCCCACACAACACGAAUGCUUUUGCCUCCCAAAACUCCCCCCUGGGCAAUGCGAUAUUUGUAGAUCACAUGGCAUGGAGGUUGUAUACAAGUAUUCUGGAGUUUUUACACUGGUAACAAGAUUUUUAAAUCAGGCAGAAAAAGAGAAUCCAAAAGCUACUGCUGUCAUGUUUCUGGGAGCAGCUAAGGAGAUAGCACUUCAUAAAGACCCUGCUUUAAACUGGCAGAACUUUGGUCACUCUUCUUCAUUGAAGAUUGCUGUCCCUUGUCUGCUGCAAAGGAUCACAACCCAACUUCAGAGGAUGCUGGUGUUGUGUGACUUCCCCAAAUUCUUGCAUGAAAAGUUUAUUAACUUUUUUCAGUCCAUCUCACUUCCAUGUCACUGCUUUGGCUUCUCAAACAGCUUGAAUGUUAUGCCAUGGGAUCAUGUGUUACUGACCACUGUGUUAAAAGGCCAGAACGUCACUGGUCAGAGAAGAAUGAAAGGAAGAAAAGUGUCCCUGUGGGAAUGGCUUUCUGUUAUAGAGGCUCGAGUGGAGAGAUUGGUAGACAAGAACAACUAUAAAGAAGUUGUUCGCUACCUGAGGGCUGUGAAGUGCAAUGAUAUCAAAGGGUUAAGCCACCUGCAGGAUAAAAUCCCGUUCUAUCUGUGUAAAUCUGGAAACUUCAUGGAUGCUGCCCAUUCCCUGCUGUUUGCUGUCAACAACCUCGCGUGCUGCACUGCCUGCCGCCUAACAGCCUCCGAGUAUGAGGUCUAUCUGAAGAUGUUCAGAACAGGCAGCGUCCCAGGUGGAAAUGAUAUACUGGACCCUGGGCUCUGGAUUGCAGCUGGGCGUCCCUUGAAAGAUAGUGCUCUGAUUAAGCAGGCACUGAAACUCCUUUACAGCAACACGUCACUCUACAGGAAUCCUAAAUGCUGGAGUACCCUCGUUAUGAUCUUGGGCAGUAGCAGUUUUCUGGGAAAAAGAGGGCACCUACGUCCCAUAUUCCUGAGAGAGCCACCACUUGACUUCCAAAAGGGGGUGCUUGCUGCCAGUUGUGGCCCUUUGAAGGAACUGAAGGCAAAAAUUAACGUUUCUUUACCACCUUCUAUUUUCUCUCCUGAUUUACACCAAGAGGCUUGUCUUAUUGUCGCAGUACAAGCAAUACAACAGAUGGUUUUUUGUGAUCUUCCAUACUUGACUUCCUUCUUAGAGAUAGCCCUGGCUUUUGGGAGUAACUUUUGGGCUUUGAGGCUGUUAUUGGACCAUCUUUCCUAUGACGAAAACAUUCUCGAUGGCACUGUCAACCUGAUGUUGAGAGAUCUACAUUGUCAGAAAGCAACAAUGCUAAAGCUGUGGCAAAACCUUGGUCCCCUGUAUGUGGGUGAAUUUCUUUGCCUGUUCCUGACUUGCAGACAUCAGAAGAUGCAAUCCGUUGGCCUCUUGAGUCUGAAUAUUAUCACAGAGAAUCUGCAUGUCAGUGGUAAAGGUACUGAACAUGAUGCUCUGGGUAGACUUGAAAUUGUUCUGUUACCUGUUGCAACCAAAUGGCCUCCUCACUUCCCAGUGUUGUGAAAAACAGGUCUCCUCUUGGCAGCUCUGACCAGUCAUCCAGAUUACACAGGGUACAGUCUAGUUCUGUUACUGAAGCAUCACUGUCAUCAACAGCAACCAAAAAACCUCUUAAUUAGGACUUGGAACAAAGCUGCUACUGGAAUCUAAGGAGGCUUAAUACUGUAUAUGGCUUUAUUUAGAGAAAAUAAUUAAAAGUAGCUCAAAACGUGUAUCAUUGUGCAUCUGUAAAGAAUACAGUGGGAGAACAGGGUCAGUACUAAGCUUGUAAGAAAUACUUCACACGGUGGGGAGGGAGUAGACCCCCACCAAAACCUAAAGGUUGAGGAAUGUAUGUGCACUGUUAUGCAAACUGAGGACAGCAUUAUGUGCCUGUCAUUGUCUUUUAAGAGACACCACUUGCUCUGCAGCAGCCACAAAGCUUCAGUGGGUGGGGAAAACAGUCCUGAAAGAGUCUAAGUACUUUGUUUGGAUUGCAAAUGAUAAGGAAGCAUUGAUGUGUCACUUUUGAGACCUUGAGCUGUUUCUGAGUGUAAUCCUUGCUCUCCUGUGUUAGGCAGUAAAGCUCUCUAGGCUUUAGAGUGAUAGACUUUAAUGUAUUGACAUAAUAGUUUCUAAAUUAAUUGACUCUCUGGUUGUAUACUAGAAGGCAGAGUAAUUGCUCUGGCACUUUUAAUUCACACAUAGCUGCUGGCAGCAGAGUAAUGGUGAAAAUUCACCUCUUGGUAAGUGUCUUAAGUGGAAAUCAUGGGCAGGUAAGUUGAAAUUCUUCAGUUUCUUCUCUCUAGCCUUUGCUGUGUGUAGCAGAGAAAAUAAAAUACCUUAUUUCAUUUCUAUUUGAAAGUUAAAGUGGGUUGUUGGACUGGCCUUUUUGUAAAGCCUUGAGUAAUGCAGAACUCAGAGUGGCUGAAAUUGAGGGCAGGUGCAUCCCUAUGAGAAAAUGGAUUAAGACUCUCUAUCUGGUUUUCAGGUGUCCUUGGGCAAAGCAUCUUUGCAACUUCUUUCACAAUGCACGACUGAAGAACCUGCCCCUUGGCGCUGCAGCUUAUCAUGAAAUCUCGAAGUUCACGAGCCUGUUUGAGAACGAAUAAGCUGUCAAAAUCUUCAGGAAUAUUUCCCAAGUUGGCUCAAUGUGAGAAAUCUCUUCUGGAGUCCCUACAAAUCAUCCUCAGACAAAUCCAAAAUGGGAUCCUAGGUGAAGGUGGGGAGCAGCAGGCUGCGUUCCUUGCAUCAACGGAUGUGUUGAGGAAAUUUCCUUUCUUGUUGGUCCAUGCGUGAAGCAUGGGGAUGGGUUUCAGUUUCCUUAAAAAGCCGUUCUACAGCGAGAUGCUGGCCGGUGUUUAGGAUGAGGGAGGGAAACGCAGAUGAAGCACAAAGCGUGAGUCUUUAUUUCUGUUGUCAUGCAGAUGUGCUACGGGAGAGCCAUCUGCGGCAGAGCUGCGAAGAGAGCAGAGGGUUAAAAGAAGGCAUCCUGCCUUUGCCCAGGUGUGUGAGUGACAGCAUGCCCUGAAAUGCUGUUUGCACACCCUUUUUGUUUUGUAUUAUGAAAAUAACCUGCUCCUGAGGCUGAAGGGCAUUAACUGAAGGGUUCUUAUUGCUUCAAGAAAGCAGAUUGAGGAGGCCUCAUGCAGUGAAUAACUUGUUUUGUUAGCAAAUAGCACAGGUUUCAUAUGCGGACGCGGGUUGUAUUUGGUUUUAUUUCCUGCAGUUGGUGACUUAGGGGGUGCUGAUGGCCCCGGGUUUUUCAAAGCCUUAUUUUAGUGCUAAGUUGGAGUUAACGUUUGACCUAUGGAGGUAGAAAUGAAGAAACAUUUCAAGCCUGUUUGAUAUCCUUUGCCCUGCUGUCAUACCUGCCUGCAUCUGCUCUGGCAGGCAGCAGCAGCAGAAGAAAUCAUCAUCUGUGAUUCGUUUUAUUUUGCACAUUCAAGUCUUUUGCAGCUUUUGUUGUCCUAAAUAAACUCUGCUGCUGUUAAAGUUUUGUA